rnacentral:lncRNA from 1 species
GGAAAACAGAGGUGCUGCAGCCCUAGCUGCUGCAGCUGCCUCUCUUCCUCCUCUCCAUCUUCCCUCUCUUCUACUUCUUCUUUUUUUCUCUUCUCCCUCUUCUUCCACAUGCGGAAAACAGAGAGAGCAUGGGAGGCGGUGGGAUAAAACCGAAAUUUUUGGUUUUCUUUAUUUUCUUUUUUUUACAACUUAACAGUUUAGUCCUUGAAAUUUCCAUAUUUACAUAUAGGUCCCCCGAUUUAUAAAUAAAUCUUUAUUAAUAAUUUUCAAAAGUGAGGGAUAUUACA